rnacentral:rRNA from 1 species
UACAGAGGUGGCAAGCGUUGUUCGGAAUUACUGGGCGUAAAGGGCGCGUAGGCGGUUCGUUAAGUCCUGUGUGAAAUCCCCCGGCUCAACUGGGGAACUGCACAGGAAACUAGCGGGCUUGAGUUCGGGAGAGGGAAGCGGAAUUCCGGGUGUAGCGGUGAAAUGCGUAGAUAUCUGGAGGAACACCGGUGGCGAAGGCGGCAUCCUGGACCAACACUGACGCUGAGUGAGCGAAAGCCAGGGGAGCAAACGGG